rnacentral:rRNA from 1 species
UACCAGCACCCCCGAGUGGUCGGGACGAUUAUUGGGCCUAAAGCAUCCGUAGCCGGUCCUGCAAGUCUUCCGUUAAAUCCAGCUGCUCAACAGAUGGGCUGCGGAGGAUACUACAGGGCUAGGAGGCGGGAGAGGCAAGCGGUACUUUAUGGGUAGGGGUAAAAUCCGUUGAUCCAUAGAAGACCACCAGUGGCGAAGGCGGCUUGCCAGAACGCGCUCGACGGUGAGGGAUGAAAGCGUGGGGGAGCAAACCGGG